ensembl:lncRNA
CAGGAUCUUGAUCUGUUGAAGCAUUUCUCGGGAGAUGUUCAGGGGCAGGUCCUCAGAAUCAACCACACCACGGACGAAGUUGAGAGGUCAAAGGGAACUUGCCGGGGAAUGAAGAGCAAUGCCCUGAAUUCCAACUGCCCUUCUACAGAGAAGUGCUUGACUGCCAAGUGGUCUUCCCAGUCAUUGGUGAAGGAUCACUUUGGUACCCCGGCCAAUGGGCUCACCAUGGUCUGAACGAAUGGGGAAGGAUCCACCAGCAGAAGACUCCCAAGACACCAAACUACCCAAUCAUGGAGAUGUCUGCACCAGCCUGGAGAGCCUCCCUGAACACCUUUGUACCAGACUUAGCAAUGGUUCCCAAGUUAUUUAUGAGGUGCCUGCAGAGGUCAGAAGAUCCCACUGAGCUGGAGUUAAUGAAGUUUGAGAACUGGCCAACAUGGGAGCUAGGAACUGAACCCGGGUCCUCUGGAAGAACAACAAAUGCUCUUAAUUCCUGAGCCACCUUUACAGCCUCCAAAUACUCCUUUUUCAUGGUUUGCUGGAGUCCAGCUGACGGCUCCAACAAACCUACACGAUAUUGAUGUGUUCGCUCACAGUUCUUUAUCUAAGAAUGCCAAACCUGAGAGACUGCCUUGGACUUCUGUGGUAGGCGACAAGUCCUCUCUAAGAACAAGAGUGUUAGGAAGAAGGGAUGUGAACAUCACUCCCAAAACUCCAGGGAAAGUCGGACCAACAUGACAGUGAAAAUUAUAAAGCAAAAUGUACCGGAAAUGGAAGAACUUCCAGGCCCGCUGGUGGACACCUGUAAUCCCAAUGUCUGAGCUGCAAAGGGAGCAAGAGCUCAAGGAUCUCAAAUUUGAAGGCAGACUAGAUCAAAAAGAGGCUGAAAUAGAGUUCUUC